UACGAAGGGGGCUAGCGUUGCUCGGAAUCACUGGGCGUAAAGCGCACGUAGGCGGAUUGUUAAGUCAGGGGUGAAAUCCUGGAGCUCAACUCCAGAACUGCCUUUGAUACUGGCGAUCUCGAGUCCGGGAGAGGUGAGUGGAACUCCGAGUGUAGAGGUGAAAUUCGUAGAUAUUCGCAAGAACACCAGUGGCGAAGGCGGCUCACUGGCUCGGUACUGACGCUGAGGUGCGAAAGCGUGGGGAGCAAACAGG
rnacentral:rRNA from 1 species